rnacentral:rRNA from 1 species
CCCUAACCGUAGGUCGGGACCGGGGUCGGAGGUAACGGACCGUCGGGCGAUACCUGCCCCGUGCCGGGGGAUACCGCCUGGAAACAGGCGCUAAUACCGCAUAAGCGCAUACAGCCGCAUGGGUGUAUGCGGAAAGCUCCGGCGGCACGGGAUGGGCCCGCGCCCGAUUAGCCAGUUGGCGGGGUAACGGCCCACCAAAGCGACGAUCGGUAGCCGGCCUGAGAGGGCGGACGGCCACAUUGGGACUGAGACACGGCCCAAACUCCUACGGGAGGCAGCAG